rnacentral:rRNA from 1 species
GCCCACCAACCACGAAAAGCAGCCUACCUAAACAGAUGCUCUAAACAACGCGGUCCUGGUACAAACGUCUUCGGUUGGGGCGACCGCGGAGGAGAACAAAGCCUCCGAGAGGAAUGGGAACAAACCCUAAAACCAAGAGCCACAGCUUAAGUCACAAAAAAUUGACCGACAAUG